AAAUGUCGGCUGCCAUCAGCGUCCUGUCCAAAGGGUAUUUAUUCACCGGUUUUUAUCAUCAGCAAGGAAGAUGGGAAUGCUCCGUUACACGGUUUCCACGGAGCGCUGAAUCGCCCCCAUCAGAACUACCUAUGAAGUAGACGGGAACAGGAAUAUCAGAAGGAGAUUUUUCUCAAACUGCCCACAAUCAAUUCGGAGGGAAAUACGAAAAUACAAAACAGAUCCGAAUAUCCCUUCAGUUUACCACAGCAGUAAGGCGGAGGAAGCGUGCCAUCUGUGUCAUUCAGUCAUUUUACCGGAAGAAACCCGAACCCGCCUUUACGUGAGGAAUUGUGUACAACGGAACAGUCAAUCGGCAAGGUGGAUAGAUUUUUUAAUAGGAGGCUUGAUAGGAGGACGGAAAUGAACCAGGGCAAGGACAGCCAGUGGAAAAAGUGGAUGUUAAGUCGUCCUCGCUGACCUCGUAACAUCCUCAUUGAUAUGAUCACUAGACCAACAUUUGAAAAGGGCGUUAGAUCGUAAAUUACGAGACAAUUAAUUUUCUAUAGCAACCUCAAACAGGACGAUUUAGUUGAUGAGAAAUCUACCGCAGGCCUUUCAUUAGUUAUUGCAAGAGUUAUUGCCUAAUUGAAGAAAAUGAACUUUGACAGAUAGGACAGGAGAUGUUGUUGUCAGGUUUUCGGUA